rnacentral:rRNA from 1 species
CCUACGGGGCGCUGCAGUGAGGAAUAUUGGUCAAUGGACGCAAGUCUGAACCAGCCAUGCCGCGUGCAGGAAGACGGCUCUAUGAGUUGUAAACUGCUUUUGUACGAGGGUAAAUCCCGAUACGUGUAUCGGGUUGAAAGUAUCGUACGAAUAAGGAUCGGCUAACUCCGUGCCAGCAGCCGCGGUAAUACGGAGGAGUCAAGCGUUAUCCGGAUUUAUUGGGUUUAAAGGGUGCGUAGGCGGGUGAUCAAGUCAGCGGUAAAAUCGUGGAGCUCAACUCCAUCCAGCCGUUGAAACUGAUGAUCUUGAGUGGGCGAGAGGUAUGCGGAAUGCGUGGUGUAGCGGUGAAAUGCAUAGAUAUCACGCAGAACUCCGAUUGCGAAGGCAGCAUACCGGCGCCCGACUGACGCUGAGGCACGAAAGCGUGGGUAUCGAACAGGAUUAGAUACCCUGGUAGUC